CUCAGAGCGGCCUGCUGGCCCCGCCUGCCCUGGGCAGUGAAGGGCUUAGCACCUGGUCCAGCAGCUGCUGUGCUCGAGUUCUCGCGGGGCCUUAGCUGCCUCCCCGCGGGGCAGGGCUUGGGACCUGCAGCCCGCCAUGCCUGAGCUUCCCCCCGCCCCCGCCGUGGGCUCCUGUGCGGCCCGAGCCUCCCCGACGAGCGCCGCCCCCUGCUCCACGAUGCCCAGUCCCAUCGACCACCCAAGGGCUGAGGAGUGCGGGCUCACGGUUACAGGAUUCCCAUUUCAGAACUACGACCAUUUGAAAAAUAGAAGAUUUAAAGAUUGACGCAAAGUGCAUGUACCAUGAUACACCAGGUCUCAUCUCCUGAAUAUUUGUCCUGCCCUGAGUUUUCACCUGAGGCCACCUGUACAACUGACUAGAGUAGUUCCACUGAUUGCUAAAAUGGAACAGGCAGGAUUGGUAUUGACUGUCCAAGAGCAAAGUCAGAUACAGAGACAAGUCUCACCAUAUUGUCCAAGCUAGUAUUGAACUCCUAGGCUCAAGUGAUCCUCCUGCCUCCGCCUCCCAAAGUGCUGGGAUUACAAGAAUGAGCCACAGUGCCUGGCCGAACUCAUGUCUUCAGUGUAAAAUGAAAUGCACAAAUCUUGACCGUACAUUCAUUGUGUUUUGAAAAAUGUGAACAAAUGCAUAGAAACUUUCCAAACUGAAAUAAAAAGAGAAACUGAAUGUGGGGGACAGAAUACAACAGCCACGUACUGUGGAACAAUUUCAAUAGCUGUAAUAUAUGCAUAGUGGGAACACCAGGAGGAGAAGAAAGAGAAUGGAGUAAAAGAAAUAUUUGAUGUAAUAUUGGCUGAGAAAUUUCCAGAACUAAUGUCAGACUCUAAACAUGGAUCUAGAAAGCUCAAAGAACACCACCAAAGGAAAAAUAAUUACAUUUUGACAUAUCGUAUUCAAACUGUAGCACACCAAAGACAAAGGUCUUAAAAUAACUCAAAGGAGAGAGAGGGAAAACACCAUACUCACAGAGGCAUAUGCCUAAGAAAUUCAGUGGAUCUCCUGUCAGAAACUAUGAAUGCACAAAAAAAGGAUAGUUAAAUAUUUAAAGUGGUAAAAAAAAA
rnacentral:lncRNA from 1 species